UUUGAAAUUAGGGUUUCCCGGCAUACAAUUAGGGUUUUAAUUGUACAAUUUAUUUUCUAAAUUUAAGAUUAGGGUUUUAAAUCCCUUAUUAAGGUUUAUUAAAUACAAACCUUAUCUGAUCAAUUAUUGAUCAACAUUUCUAUACAGUCCAAACACAUAAUCAACAAUACAAUUAUUUUAAUUGUAUUUUCUACCGAAUCCCUAUCUGAAAAUUAGGGUUAGGG
rnacentral:lncRNA from 1 species